rnacentral:rRNA from 1 species
ACGAAGGAUGCAAGCGUUAUCCGGAUUCAUUGGGUUUAAAGGGAGCGUAGGUGGACUGAUAAGUCAGUGGUGAAAUCUUCGAGCUUAACUCGGAAAUUGCCAUUGAUACUGUUGGUCUUGAGUACAGUUGCUGUGGGCGGAAUAUGACAUGUAGUGGUGAAAUACAUAGAGAUGUCAUAGAACACCGAUUGCGAAGGCAGCUCACAAAGCUGUAACUGACACUGAGGCUCGAAAGUGCGGGGAUCAAACAGGAUUAGAUACCCUGGUAGUCCGCACCGUAAACGAUGAUUACUCGCUGCUAGAGGGCAACUUUUAGUGGCUUAGCGAAAGCGAUAAGUAAUCCACCUGGGGAGUACGCCGGCAACGGUG